rnacentral:rRNA from 1 species
CAGUAGCCACGGUAAUACGUAGGUGGCAAGCGUUGUCCGGAAUUAUUGGGCGUAAAGGGCUCGCAGGCGGUUUCUUAAGUCUGAUGUGAAAGCCCCCGGCUCAGCCGGGGAGGGUCAUUGGAAACUGGGAAACUUGAGUGCAGAAGAGGAGAGUGGAAUUCCACGUGUAGCGGUGAAAUGCGUAGAGAUGUGGAGGAACACCAGUGGCGAAGGCGACUCUCUGGUCUGUAACUGACGCUGAGGAGCGAAAGCGUGGGGAGCAAACAGGAUUAGAGACCCCCGUAGUCCCUGUCUCUUAUAC